rnacentral:ncRNA from 2 species
UGGUUAUCAAGAAAGGCCGAGGGAUUAGACCCGCUGAAGCCUUAGCAACCCUUUAAUUUUAAAGAAGGUGCUACGUUCUACCGCUUAGCGGAUAGAUGACUC